AGAAGCGAUCGACCAGAGCCUUAUAAAAAGCACCUCUAAGGACAAACAAAAGGGAUACGCACAAAAACGCUCUCAACUUCAGGCUAUCAAAAACGCUCUGACUUUGAAGGCAAAACACUUAUUUUCAUAUUCUUAAACACUUGUACGAUCAAAUCCUUACUAUU
rnacentral:sRNA from 1 species